UACGACGUUGAUAGGUUGGGUGUGUAAGCGCUGUGAGGCGUUGAGCUAACCAAUACUAAUUGCCCGUGAGGCUUGACCAUAUAACACCCAAGCAAUU
rnacentral:rRNA from 4 species